ensembl:scaRNA predicted gene, 26413
ACUAGAAGAUCAAGAAGGCCGUCUGAUGAAGCAGGACUUUGCUGAUACACUCCUAGAAAAAGAGGUGGAGAGAACAGAGCCCUUAGUGGAGCAAACCACAGGGUUGACUCUACUACCCAACAUUU